rnacentral:rRNA from 1 species
AACGAACGCUGGCGGCAGGCUUAACACAUGCAAGUCGAGCGCAUCCUUCGGGGUGAGCGGCGGACGGGUGAGUAACGCGUGGGAACGUGCCCUCUUCUACGGAAUAGCCUCGGGAAACUGAGAGUAAUGCCGUAUACGCCCGCAAGGGGAAAGAUUUAUCGGAGGAGGAUCGGCCCGCGUUGGAUUAGGUAGUUGGUGGGGUAACGGCCUACCAAGCCGACGAUCCAUAGCUGGUUUGAGAGGAUGAUCAGCCACACUGGGACUGAGACACGGCCCAGACUCCUACGGGAGGCAGCAGUGGGGAAUCUUGGAUAAUGGGGGCAACCCUGAUCCAGCCAUGCCGCGUGAUCGAUGAAGGCCUUAGGGUUGUAAAGAUCUUUCAGCUGGGAAGAUAAUGACGGUACCAGCAGAAGAAGCCCCGGCUAACUCCGUG